rnacentral:rRNA from 1 species
UUCAAGAGUACGUGAAACCGUCCAGGGGUAAACCUGCGAAACUCGAAUGAACGAACGGGGAGAUUCAUCGUCAUUCUCCGGCGCACCGGCGGGGUGCAGACGUUCGGGGCCUCGGUCCCGGGCGCUGCCCUCGUCGGUCGCGCUCCGGGGACGGCGUGCACUUCUCCCUCAGUAAUACAUCGCGACCCGUUCGACGUCGGCCUAAGUGCCCCCCGGGAGUCUGUGCUCGCCACUCGUGGCGUGCGCAUACCGGCGGGUGCACCGGCCGGCCGUCGGACGGUAUAUGUUACGAAACGCUCACGCGCUACGCGCGUCCGGCCCGACGCAAGGCAACGCGUCGUAUCCCCCGUCCUGCCCGAGCGCGGACGGGGGUGCGGCGCGCCUGUUGUCGCAGCCGUGCUGUCUCGGACCGUGUGCGUAUCCGUCUGCGAUGAUUCAGUUUCGGGCACUCGCAGGACCCGUCU